UACGUAGGGGCCUAGCGUUGUCCGGAUUUAUUGGGCGUAAAGAGCUCGUAGGCGGUUUCGGUAAGUCAGGUGUGAAAUCUCCACGCUCAACGUGGAGGGGCCACCUGAUACUGCCGUGACUCGAGUCCGGUAGGGGAGUGUGGAAUUCCCGGUGUAGCGGUGAAAUGCGCAGAUAUCAGGAGGAACACCGAUGCGAAGGCAGGUCACUGGGCCGCAACUGACGCUGAGGAGCGAAAGCAUGGGGAGCAACAGG
rnacentral:rRNA from 1 species